UACAGAGGUCUCAAGCGUUGUUCGGAUUCAUUGGGCGUAAAGGGUGCGUAGGCGGCGCGGUAAGUCGGGUGUGAAAUCUCGGAGCUUAACUCCGAAACUGCAUUCGAUACUGCCGUGCUUGAGGACUGGAGAGGAGACUGGAAUUUACGGUGUAGCGGUGAAAUGCGUAGAUAUCGAGAGGAACACCUGCGGCGAAGGCGGCUUCCUGGCCUGUAACUGACGCUGAGACGCGAAAGCGUGGGGAGCGAACCGG
rnacentral:rRNA from 1 species